GGCUCAGGACGAACGCUGGCGGCGUGCCUAAUACAUGCAAGUCGAACGGUCUUUCUAUGGAAGCUUGCUUCCACUGAGAAGAUAGUGGCGAACGGGUGAGUAACACGUGGGUAACCUGCCCAUAAGAGGGGGGAUAACAUCCGGAAACGGGUGCUAAUACCGCAUAGUUUUCUUGAUCGCAUGAUCGGGAAAGGAAAGACGGCCUUUGUGCUGUCGCUUAUGGAUGGACCCGCGGCGUAUUAGUUAGUUGGUGAGGUAACGGCUCACCAAGACGAUGAUACGUAGCCGACCUGAGAGGGUGAUCGGCCACAUUGGGACUGAGACACGGCCCAAACUCCUACGGGAGGCAGCAGUAGGGAAUCUUCCGCAAUGGACGAAAGUCUGACGGAGCAACGCCGCGUGAGUGAAGAAAGGUUUUCGGAUCGUAAAACUCUGUUGUCAGAGAAGAACAAGUUGGAGAGUAACUGCUCCAGCCUUGACGGUAUCUGACCAGAAAGCCACGGCUAACUACGUGCCAGCAGCGGC
rnacentral:rRNA from 1 species